AGAGUUUGAUCCUGGCUCAGGACGAACGCGGGCGGCGUGCUUAACACAUGCAAGUCGAACGGAGGAUACAUUGAAACGCAAGUCGAUAUGUAACUUUAGUGGCGGACGGGUGAGUAACGCGUGGAUAACCUGCCUAUCUGACCGGGACAACACCUGGAAACGGGUGCUAAUACCGGAUACGCUCAUCUAGUCAAAAGAAUAGAUGAGGAAAAGGGGAAACCCGCAGACAGAUGGGUCCGCGUCCCAUUAGCUAGUUGGAGGUGUAAGAGACCCCCAAGGCGACGAUGGGUAGCCGGCCUGAGAGGGUGACCGGCCACACUGGAACUGAGACACGGUCCAGACUCCUACGGGAGGCAGCAGUGGGGAAUCUUCCGCAAUGGGCGCAAGCCUGACGCAGCGACGCCGCGUGAGCGAUGAAGGCCUUCGGGUCGUAAAGCUCUGUCCUUGGGGAAGAAGGUCUUCGGACUUGACGGUACCCAAGAAGAAAGCCCCGGCUAACUACGUGCCAGCAGCCGCGGUAAUACGUAGGGGGCGAGCGUUGUCCGGAAUUACUGGGCGUAAAGGGUGCGUAGGCGGCCCUUUAAGUCAGAUGUGAAAGCCCGCAGCUUAACUGCGGAAUUGCAUUUGAAACUGGAGGGCUUGAGUGUCGGAGAGGGUAGUGGAAUUCCCAGUGUAGCGGUGAAAUGCGUAGAUAUUGGGAGGAACACCAGUGGCGAAGGCGACUGCCUGGACGAUAACCGACGCUGAGGCACGAAAGCUAGGGGAGCAAACAGGAUUAGAUACCCUGGUAGUCCUAGCCGUAAACGAUGGGUACUAGGUGUAGGUGGUUUCGAUACCAUCUGUGCCGUAGUUAACGCAUUAAGUACCCCGCCUGGGGAGUACGUGCGCAAGCAUGAAACUCAAAUGAAUUGACGG
rnacentral:rRNA from 1 species